GCGCACAUGCUGCAGAUGUGCCUCCAGUUCAUUUGUCGGUGCCCACUGGAAGAUGGAGGUCCCAGAUCCACCUCUUACUUCAUUCGGUGUCUCCUCUCUCAGUCUGAUCCUGCUCCCUUUCCCUCACCUUGUCUCCAAGGUCAGCCCAGGCAAAGGGCAACCUCAGCUUUUGUUAGCCUUCAUGUUCCUGUGAGUAAGAGCAUGGUCAAGGCUCCCUGCUCAACCAAACCGAGCAUCCAUCUGUGUCCCUGAUGCAGGGGAGCACUGCAUUAGCAGCUUGCCUGGCACCUGAAACACAGUCCUGCCAUGCUACAGCUGCUGGAAAGCUUCGAACUGAGUAUGGGAGAACGUAAAAAUAAUCCACCCUACACCAAAUGUGAGCAAUAUAGGUAAAUGUGUAGGGCAGCAUCAAUGCCAAAAUGCUUUAAGGUCAAAUCCUAGCCUCUACACAGCUACCCUCUGUAGCCCACAUGAUCCUUGGAAGGACAAACCUCCUUUAGCCAAAAGAUCUAAGGUCCAUUCCUCAGGGAUCAGUGGACAUGUGGAAAGCAGCAUGGCCAGAUGCUGUGACUCUUGUAGCAACCUACUGCCUCUGGCUGGUGCUCAGAGAGGAUUAUCUUAUUGAACAAUCCAGCAUUUAUGGGGAUAAAUACUACACAUCUGUUCUACUCUCUGCAAAUCCACAGAAAAGCCAAUGUCUGACUCAAGCAAAGCUGUUAUCAGUGUGAAGGAAGCAAAUCCUUCGUCCAGAAGCUCUCCUAGGCAAGCGAAGACAUUGCUUCUCUUUGCUUGCCAUGGCUCGGGGAAGAUGAACGCUCCUCACCACACCUUCCUGAGCAAGCCACUGUGAGUCACUUCAGGUUUAUGCCUCAAGUCUCCCACAACCAGCACCAAAGAGAAGUGAUAGUGACUGAGCCAGGAGGAACACGACCAGAAACCACGCUGAAAGCAUCAUGUAAGCUUGGAAAGGAAAUAAAUGAAAUGUUCCUUGUCCCACCUCUGGGUCCAAUCAUGCUAAACAGGGCUGAGGGGUUUUCCAUGGGCACACUUGGUAACAUGUCCUGAAGCAGCUUCCAGGGAGGAAGGGGAAAGGAGAGGUCGAAUAUCAAGGAUGUAAGAGUCAAGAACAUGGGCUGUUCUACAGCUUCUUAGGAGACAGGGUCAAACUGUGGCCACUCUUGCUGUCCUCCAUGUUCAUCCCAGCAAUGCUCCUCAACAUGAGUAUUUGUCUCACAUGAGAAGAUUGAUCUACAGGAGCAAAAGAGGUUUCUCACCAAGGUUUUCAGAAAGGUACAGGAAUGCUCCCCCCUUCCUUUGCACCCUAAAAAGCUGAGCGGGAGAGGAUUGAUGGAAGCAGGUGUUGCAAUGUCUCCUAAUACAAUUAGGAGGAGGAAAGUGAGUAAGCACAAGAUAUAAACGGGGAUUUCCCGGAGGUCAGAGGACUAAGAGUCUCCUUCCUUAUCUCAACGUGGAAAGUGUUUUUGUGAAAUUGCUCAAAAGAAGAAAUCUUUGCUGUUGGAGGUUGCACCACCUCCACAGCUUUGUGACUGCCGCAUAGGGAGAUUUUCCAGCUCACUGUCAGAGAGUUGGAAAAAAGUUCUCAUGAGACAGGAGUCAAAGAGGAAUCCUUCAGAAAGCCAGUUGCAUGCAGCAGAUAUGAGGUAAGAGGAUUCUCUUACUGCUUUUAAAUUUCUUCAGUCAUCUUUCAUCAACAAAAGUGUGCUUGACCUGUCCUGGUCCACGCAGCUCACUGGGCCACUUGUAAGGUAAAAAGCUGUGCCUUCCUGAGACAGCUGGUGCUCUGGUAGAAAGUCUCUGACCUUCUCAAUAUAAUAAUAAAAACCCAGUUUUACCCCAAAGAGGAGCCUGCUGCACACCACAAAACCCCAGCAGCUGCCAGGAGAGCAUUCCCAAUUCCUGUACAAAUCUCAAUAAUCUUUCUGUGUAGCUGUUUUUAAGGGAGAGAAGAACAAAGCUGGGUUAUUCAACGAAGCUGGCACGUGUUGAAGCAAAGGGGCCUGACUUGUCCCUCUGACAAGUGCCUGCACAUCGCAGGAAUGCGACCCAGGCUCGAGGCUUUCAGCCACUUCUGCUAUCGGGUUGAGGCAAGUAGGAAGUUGCUUCUGCAAACAUCAGCCCACCCUGACCAAACACCACCAACGAAUCCGUCAGCGUCUCCAACAGUCCGUGGCUUGCAGGACAGAUCAUAAUACCACGUACGGUGCCUGUACGUGCUUGGCUGGGAGCCUGUGCAUUCGCUGGGCCACAAAGGGAAGACGGAGGAGCCGAGCAGCCAUUGCUGGUUCAGGCCAAGCAAGGGUUGGCCAUCGCAUCUGUAAUACCUUAAAGAAUGCAUAUGCUUUUUAAGGGCCUUACAAAUUUAACAAAGUUCAGAAUAAAAGGUUUGCUCUCCAGCAGGACUUUGCAGAGAUGCCCUCCCUUGAUGGCUGGGGCUGCUGUUUGUGGGGUGCAGGCAGAAGGCCAAACACUCCCCGGGGGAGGAAAAACUGCAGCGAGCACUUGAGGAGAGCCUCGAGGCUCGCAGGUUUUCCGCUGCCACGCUCCCAGGAGAGCAGGCCCAGUGCCGAGGGGUGGCAGCAGGGGGGUGGCACUGACGGGCUGGGCAGCUGCAGUCCGAGCAGCAGUGAGGAGGGCAGCGCUCAGCGUGCCACCAUGUGGGGCUUCCAGGGGGGCUCCCGGCUGCUGGCCACCAUGCUGCGGGCACCACGGGUCCCCCGGGCAGGGGUCACCUCCAAACCACCCGAACACCCGAUUUCUGCUGGGGAGCAGGCCUAUCGCGCUGGCUGCCAUGUUUACAUGCUUCCUGGCACCAACAGCAUGGGUCUUGGCACACGUGGAGCACUACAAGAGCAGAGGAGAUUAAGAAGUGGCCAGAACCACCUACACCUGCGGGAGCAGAAGUGUGAGCGAAGAUAAGAUUACAGAACAGAUCUUCACCCAGGAAAAACCCCCGAGUUUGUUCAUUAAAAUUCACUGUUUGCAUUAAACACUGGGGUCUGUGG